AUAUCACAUCAUGCUCUACUGUCUUCACUCUUCUUUCGCUACUCUUCUUCCAUGGUACAUCAUCCAACUCAAGUUUUCCUCUGCUUCACUCUACAUAGUCUAGUUAAUCGUCUUUCUCGAGCCAUGGUCAUCAAAGAAAGUGAAAGUGAACGACCACACAGAAAAGAGUGAAAGAAUUGGAAUAUAAAGUUCUGGUCUUUUGUAUUACAAAAACAGUCUUGUUUGCGGCUUUGUUAUUCGUGUGUUCAACCUUGUCUUAUGCUUACUUAGGUACUUUUACUUGUAUAAACAUGAUGGUUCAUAGGAGUUUGCCACAGUUUCUGAUUUGGCCUUGAAAAUAUGAUCAGGACUCCCAUGUUUGUCCAUAAUUUUGUGUUACUUGUGUUUAGUUCUUGUUGUCUUGUUAUUGCCUUGUUUCUGACGUAGAUUCCACUAUUACGGGUUUAUUUAUUUCUGUGUUAUAUUGGAUGUUCUGUUAGCAAUAUGGCCAAGCUUGCCCCUCUUGAAGAGCCUCUUUUGGAUGGUGACUCUAGUGCCAUUAACAAUUCUGAUCCUAUUAAGACUAGAGGAAAUGAAAAUUUGACCCGAUAUUCAAAUGCUGGAUUUUUCAGUGUUCUUUCUUUUUCAUGGAUCACUCCAUUAAUAACACUAGGAAAUGAGAAGACUUUAAACCAUGAGGACCUCCCACUUCUUGCUACUGGUGACAGUGCCUAUGGGGUUUUUCCAACUUUUAGAAGCAAAGUCGAGUCAGAGUUUGGUAGUGUUAGGAAUGUGACCACUCUUAAGCUGGCCAAGGUUUUAUUCUUGUCGACAUGGCAAGGGAUCUUUUUAUCAGGUUUAUUUGCAUUCCUGUACGCGUGUGCUUCUUAUGUUGGACCCUUUCUUAUUGAUAUCCUUGUUCAAUACCUCAAUGGAGAAUACAUGAUUAAAAAUGAAGGCUAUGUUUUGGCUGCGACUUUUGUUGCUGCAAAGCUUGUGGAGUGUCUUUCACAGAGGCACUGGAUGUUUAGGUUCCAGCAGGUUGGGGUUAGAAUGCAAUCCAUGUUGGUGGCAAUGAUCUAUGCUAAAGGUUUGACUCUUUCUUGUCAAUCAAAGGAGGUUCGUAGUACUGGGGAAAUCAUCAACUUAAUGACUGUCGAUGCUGAGAGAAUUGGUGAAUUCUGUUGGUACAUGCAUGAUCCAUGGAUGUGUGUUUUGCAGCUUGCUUUGGCCCUGGUAAUUCUCUAUAGAAGUGUUGGUGUUGCUUCAAUAGCUGCUCUUGCUGCCACUGUAAUUGUGAUGUUGCUAAACCAUCCUGUGGCAUCAUUGCAAGAAAAGUUCCAAGGCAAGAUAAUGGAGUUCAAAGAUAAAAGAAUGAAGGCUACAUCUGAGAUCCUUAAGAAUAUGAGGAUUCUAAAACUGCAAGCAUGGGAGAUGAAGUUCUUGUCAAAGAUUAUUCAGAUUAGAAAGAGUGAGGAGACGUGGCUAAAGAAAUUUCUUGCUGGUACUGCAACUAUUCGAUUCAUCUUCCACAACGCCCCAACUUUUAUUGCAGUUGUUACGUUUGGUGCUUGUAUUUUUGUGGGGAUACCACUUGAAUCAGGGAAGGUGUUGUCAGCACUUGCAACAUUCAGAAUUCUUCAAAUGCCCAUCUACAGUCUUCCUGACACAAUUUCUAUGAUUGCACAAACUAAAGUUUCUUUGGAUAGGAUUGCAUCAUUUCUUCGACUAGAGGAGUUGCAGACUGAUAUAGUACAGAAGCUUCCAUGGGGAAGUUCUGAUAAAGCAAUUGAUUUAGUGGAUGGAAACUUCUCAUGGGAUUUAUCUUCUCCUAAUCCAACAUUGAAAAACAUAAAUCUCAAUGUUUUUCAUGGCAUGAGAGUAGCUGUAUGUGGUACUGUUGGAUCAGGCAAGUCUAGUUUACUUUCUUGUAUCAUUGGGGAAGUACCAAAGAUAUCUGGGACAUUGAAAAUAUGUGGAACAAAGGCUUAUGUUUCUCAAUCACCAUGGAUUCAGAGUGGCAAGAUAGAAGACAACAUAUUAUUCGGUAAAGAGAUGGACAGUGAGAAGUAUGAGAAGGUGCUAGAGGCAUGUUCCUUGACAAAGGACCUUGAGAUUCUACCAUUUGGUGAUCAAACAAUUAUUGGGGAGAAGGGAAUCAAUUUGAGUGGUGGACAAAAGCAAAGAGUGCAAAUAGCCCGUGCAAUAUACCAAGAUGCUGAUAUAUAUCUUUUUGAUGAUCCCUUCAGUGCCGUUGAUGCUCAUACAGGAUCUCAUCUCUUUAAGGAGUGCUUGCUUGGCCUUUUAAAAUCAAAAACUGUGAUAUACGUAACACAUCAAGUAGAGUUCUUACCUGAUGCUGAUCUAAUAUUGGUCAUGAGAGAAGGAAGGAUAACUCAAUCAGGAAAAUACAAUGACAUUCUCAAGACAGGCACUGAUUUUAUGGAACUUGUAGGGGCACACACAGCAGCUUUGUCUUCAAUUAAGUCCUUAGAGAGAAGACCAACAUUUAAAACAUCAAGUACCACCGAAGAGAAAACAAAUUCGUUAAGUGAUUUUGAACUUGAGAAAAAUGUGGAAAACAUACAUGGUGAAAAUGAUAAGCGAAACGACACUGAUGAGCCCAAAGGACAACUUGUUCAAGAAGAAGAACGAGAAAAGGGGAGAGUUGGAUUUAGAGUGUUCUGGAAAUACAUCACAACAGCUUAUGGAGGAGCUCUUGUGCCCUUCAUAUUACUUUCGCAGAUACUCACUGUGGGUUUUCAGAUUGCAAGCAAUUAUUGGAUGACUGUAGCAACUCCUGUUUCAGCAACAGCAGAAACUGAUAUUGGAAGCUUUACACUCCUGGUUGUCUAUGUUGCUUUGGCAAUUGGAAGUUCCAUUUUCACCUUUGCUAGAUCAUUUCUUGCUGUGAUAGCUGGAUACAAGACAGCCACUGUGCUCUUCGAUAAAAUGCAUUUCUGUAUUUUUCGAGCACCAAUAUCAUUUUUUGAUUCCACCCCAAGUGGUCGAAUCCUCAACAGAGCUUCAAUAGACCAAAGCUCACUAGAUAUGUACAUUGCAAAUAUAUUAUGGGGAAUUACUCUCAAUCUGGUUCAACUAUUGGGAAAUGUUAUUGUGAUGUCUCAAGCUGCAUGGCAGGUGUUCAUAGUAUUGAUUCCUGUCAUGGCAGCUAGCAUAUGGUACCAGCGGUACUACUCGGCAUCUGCAAGAGAAUUGGCACGAUUGGUUGGUACAUGUCAAGCUCCAGUUAUACAACAUUUUUCUGAAACAAUUUCUGGAUCAACAACCAUAAGAAGUUUUGAACAAGAAUCAAGAUUUAAUGACAUAAAUAUGAAGUUGAUAGACAGAUAUUCCCAACCCAAACUAUACAGUGCUACUGCAAUUGAAUGGUUGAAUUUCCGAUUGGAUAUUUUAUCCACUGUCAUAUUUGCCUUCUGUUUGGUAUUCUUGGUAUCUUUCCCAAAUUCAAUGACUGCUCCUGGCAUUGCGGGAUUGGCUGUGACAUAUGGACUUAAUCUAAAUACUGUGCAAACUAAAGUAAUCUGGUUUCUUUGCGACUUGGAGAAAAAAAUUAUAUCUGUUGAAAGAAUACUCCAGUACACAUCCCUCCCAAGUGAAGCUCCUCUUGUGAUUAAAGAUAACCAACCGGAUUGUUCUUGGCCAUCAUUUGGAGAGGUUCAUAUCCAGGAUUUACAGGUUCGAUAUGCUCCUCACUUGCCUAUUGUUUUACGAGGUCUUACUUGCACUUUUACUGCUGGAUCAAAAACUGGUAUUGUGGGAAGAACAGGAAGUGGAAAAUCAACUCUUGUGCAAACACUUCUCCGACUUAUUGAACCUAUGGAUGGAAAAAUAUUAAUAGAUAACAUUAACAUAUCUUUGAUUGGAAUUCAUGAUUUGCGGUCUAGACUCAGCAUUAUUCCUCAAGAUCCAACGAUGUUUGAAGGGACUGUAAGAACCAACUUGGAUCCAUUGGAAGAGUACACAGAUGAACAGAUUUGGGAGGCUCUAGAUAUGUGCCAACUGGGAGAUGAUGUAAGGAAAAAAGAAGGGAAGCUGGACUCCAUAGUGAUUGAGAAUGGAGAAAAUUGGAGCAUGGGUCAAAGGCAGUUGGUCUGCCUAGGCCGUGUUCUACUGAAGAAAAGCAAGAUCUUGGUGCUUGAUGAAGCUACAGCAUCAGUUGAUACAGCCACAGAUAAUAUUAUUCAGCAAAUAGUUAAGCAACAUUUUUCAGAAUGCACAGUCAUUACCAUUGCUCAUAGGAUAACUUCUAUCAUCGACAGUGACAUGGUUCUAUUUUUAAAUCAAGGGUUGAUAGAAGAAUAUGAUUCACCUAAGAAACUUCUUAAGAACAAAUCUUCAUCUCUAGCUCAACUAGUGGCAGAAUACACAAAGAGGUCAAACUCUGGUUUCGGAAAUUAAAUUGAAAUUAGGCACCAACCAGAUAUGUUCUUCAUGAUGAUACAAAUUUUGUGGUGUCUGGUCACCAUUGCAUUUCAUCUAGUGUACCCUACCUUACUGGACUUAGAUUAUUGUCGAAGUUCAAUUUUAGUACCUGAUUGUAAGACUCGAUUACCUGGUCUCCUAAAAUGAACUCAAGUUUUGUUUGCUCAACACUUUUAAAAUCUUCACCUAUCAUCUAUACAUUUUCCAAACGUACAAAAAAAAUUCAGUUUUGUUAGUUUAUUUGAAAA